rnacentral:rRNA from 1 species
AGUGAACGCUGGCGGUAGGCCUAACACAUGCAAGUCGAACGGCAGCACAGUAAGAGCUUGCUCUUACGGGUGGCGAGUGGCGGACGGGUGAGGAAUACAUCGGAAUCUACUUUUUCGUGGGGGAUAACGUAGGGAAACUUACGCUAAUACCGCAUACGACCUACGGGUGAAAGCAGGGGAACUUCGGACCUUGCGCGAAUGAAUGAGCCGAUGUCGGAUUAGCUAGUUGGCGGGGUAAAGGCCCACCAAGGCGACGAUCCGUAGCUGGUCUGAGAGGAUGAUCAGCCACACUGGAACUGAGACACGGUCCAGACUCCUACGGGAGGCAGCAGUGGGGAAUAUUGGACAAUGGUCGCAAGCCUUAUCCAGCCAUACCGCGUGGGUGAAGAAGGCCUUCGGGUUGUAAAGCCCUUUUGUUGGGAAAGAAAAGCAGCAGGUUAAUACCCCGCUGUUCUGACGGUACCCAAAGAAUAAGCACCGGCUAACUUCGUG